UGAAUACGAGACGCUAAGGCGUCGAAGUAGUGUAUGUCAUACUUCCAAGAAAAGCUUGCACUGUCAUAGAUAAAAAACGCCUGUACCAUAACCGACACAGGUGGGUAGGUAGAGUAUACUAAGGGGCGCGAGAUAACUCUCUCUAAGGAACUCGGCAAAAUAACUCCGUAACUUCGGGAGAAGGAGUGCCUUAUUCGUAAGGUUGCAAUAACAAGAUCCAAGCAACUGUUUAUCAAAAACACAGGUCUCCGCUAAGUCGUAAGACGAUGUAUGGGGGCUGACGCCUGCCCAGUGCCAGAAGGUUAAAGAAGUUGGUUAGCAAUUGCGAAGCUGAUAACUGAAGCCCUGGUGAACGGCGGCCGUAACAAUAACGGUCCUAAGGUAGCGAAAUUCCUUGUCGGGUAAGUUCCGACCCGCACGAAAGGCGUAAUGAUUUGGAUACUGUCUCGGAGAGGGGCUCGGUGAAAUAGACUUGUCUGUGAAGAUGCGGACUACCUGCACCAGGACAGAAAGACCCUAUGAAGCUUUACUGUAACUUGAAAUUGAAAUUGGACUUUAUUCGCGCAGUAUAGGUGGGAGGCGUUGAUUAUAAUCUUGUGGGAUUAUUGGAGCCAUCAGUGAGAUACCACUCUUGUAAUGUUAGAUUUCUAACUUUGAAUCAUUAUCUGGUCAAAGAACAGUUUCAGGCGGGCAGUUUGACUGGGGCGGUCGCCUCCUAAACGGUAACGGAGGCGUACAAAGGUUUCCUCUGAACGGUUAGAAAUCGUAUCUAGAGUGUAAGGCAUAAGGAAGCUUGACUGUGAGACCUACAAGUCGAGGAGGGACGAAAGUCGGUCUUAGUGAUCUGACGGUACUGAGUGGAAAGGCCGUCACUCAACGGAUAAAAGUUACUCUAAGGAUAACAGGCUGAUCUCCCCCAAGAGUUCACAUCGACGGGGAGGUUUGGCACCUCGAUGUCGGCUCAUCGCAUCCUGGGGCGGUAGUACGUCCCAAGGGUUGGGCUGUUCGCCCAUGAAAGCGGUACGCGAGCUGGGUUCAGAACGUCGUGAGACAGUUCGGUCCAUAUCCGGUGUAGGCGUUAGAAUAUUGAGAGGAGCCUUCUUUAGUACGAGAGGACCGAGAAGGACAUACCUCUGGUGUACCAGUUAUCGUGCCAACGGUAAACGCUGGGUAGCUAUGUAUGGAGUGGAUAACCGCUGAAAGCAUCUAAGUGGGAAGCCCACCUCAAGAUAAGUAUUCUCAUC
rnacentral:rRNA from 1 species